CCAGGCGGCCGGGUGACCGCUGGCCCGGGAGUGAUCCCGGGCUGGAGGAAAGUCCGGGCUCCACGGAUAGACGGUGCCGGUUAACGACCGGCGGGGUGGCCUUCGGGCUGCUUCAGGGACAGUGCCACAGAAAGCAAACCGCCCGGGUCCGCCCGGGUCAGGGUGAAAGGGUGCGGUAAGAGCGCACCGCGCUGCCGGCAACGGCGGCGGCAAGGCAAACCCCACCGGGAGCAAGGCCGAAUAGGGGCAGCCGUGCGCAAGCACAGGGGUAUCCGCCCCGCUGCCCGGGUUGGCCGCGUGAGGUGUGUCGCGAGACACAUCCCAGAGGAAUGGUCAUCCAUGUGGGUUAUCCACAGGACAGAACCCGGCUUACAGGCCGCCUGGCGCU
rnacentral:RNase_P_RNA from 1 species